rnacentral:rRNA from 1 species
AUUGAACGCUGGCGGCAGGCUUAACACAUGCAAGUCGAACGAGUGGCGGACGGGUGAGUAAUGCUUGGGAAUCUGGCUUAUGGAGGGGGAUAACGACGGGAAACUGUCGCUAAUACCGCGUAUCAUAGGAGGAGCCCAUGUGGGAUUAGGUAGUUGGUGGGGUAAUGGCCUACCAAGCCGAAGAUAUCUAGCUGGUCUGAGAGGAUGACCGGCCACCUCGGGACUGAGCCACGGCCCGGACGCCGACGGGAGGCAGCAGUGGGGAAGAUUGCGCAAUGGGCGAAACCUGACGCAGCCAUGCCGCGUGAAUGAAGAAGGCCUUCGGGUUGUAAAGUUCUUUCGGUAGCGAGGCGUUAAUCACAGAAGAAGCACCGGCUAACUCCGUGCCAGCCGCCGCGGUAAUAC